GCCCAGCUCAGUCAGUAGAGCAUGAGGCUAUUAAUCUCAGGGUUGUGGGUUCAAGCUCCACGUUGGGCA